AGUGGUGAAGAUGGCUGGCUGCUCUUCAGAGGACCCAGGUUCAGCAGCACCCUCAAGCCAGCUCACAACCAUCUCUAACUGCAGUCCCAGAGGAUCCAAUGACCUCUUCUGUUUUCUGUUGGCACUGCAUAGAUGUGGUUCACAGACAGACGGACGGACGGACGGACGGACGGACACACACACACACACACACACACACACACACACACACACACACACACAAAAGUUAGGGGCUGGAGAGAUGGCUCAGCAGUUGAGAGCACCCAACUACUCUUCCAGAGAUCCUGAGUUCAAUUCCCAGCAACCACAUGGUGGCUCACAACCAUCUGUAAAGAGAUCCGAUGCCCUCUUCUGGUGUGUCUGAAGACAGCAACAAUGUACUUAUAUAGAAUAAAUAAAUAAAUCUUUAAAAAAAAAAGUAAGUCUUUAAAAAAGAGGAAAAAACCAGAGCUCUGUUUUGGUUUAGAUAUAAAAUGGUCUUGCAAAACUUGAAUGUUUGGGGUGGGGGAUUUAGCUCAGUGGUAGAACGCUUGUCUAGCAAACGCAAGGCCCUGGGUUCGGUCCCCAGCUCCGAAAAAAAGAAAAAGGGAAAAAACAAAAAAAAAAACAAAGAACUUUAAUGUUUGACCAGGAAGUGGUGUCACAUACUUUUAAUCCCAAUAGUCAAGAGGCAAAAGCAGAGGGAUCUCUGAGUUUGAGGCCAGCCUGGCCUACAAAGUAAGUUCCAGGACUUCCAGGGCUACACAGAGAAAUCCUGCCUCUCAUAAAGCAAACAACCAAACGAAAACCCACAGCUUGACUGUUAAAGGUUUGGUCAGCACUGCAACGUGCAGAGCCGUGCUUUGGGGUGACCAGAGCUGGAGCACUGGCCACUCGUGGCCUCAUGAGCUGGAGCACUGGCCACUUGUGGCCUCGUGAGCUGGAGCACU
rnacentral:lncRNA from 1 species